GACGUAGGGCGCGAGCGUUGUCCGGAUUUAUUGGGCGUAAAGAGCUCGUAGGCGGCUUGUUGCGUCGACCGUGAAAACCCGUGGCUUAACUGCGGGCUUGCGGUCGAAUACGGGCGGCUGGAGUUCGGUAGGGGAGACUGGAAUUCCUGGUGUAGCGGUGAAAUGCGCAGAUAUCGGGAGGAACACCGGUGGCGAAGGCGGUUCUCUGGGCCUUACCUGACGCUGAGGAGCGAAAGCGUGGGGAGCGAACAGG
rnacentral:rRNA from 1 species